GCAGGCUGAAGGGAUUGCCGAAAUUGAUAAAUUGUUCUAUCGGCCUGACGCGAUAAGACUCAGCCCUAGCCACAAAAUCGAGGCUGAAGAAGGAACACGGUGCCCAAAGUAGAACCUAAUUUAAUUAGCCUUUCUUUGCCUGCUCCUCCUGCACGUACGUCCUGGAGGAGCUGCCAGUUUGGGGGUAGAUGGGGAGGGGCGAGGGUUGUCAUAUUUACCCAGAUAUUACCCUUUACAUAAUCUUAAACCUUAACCCUAAUUAGGACCCUAAAAAACAAGUAUGGCGCCAAUUUAUCCCAUCAAAAAGUGCUCCCAAUGGAAGCCUUUGGGUACACCUGAACUCCCUGGGGGAGCCUUUACGCAACCCCACACUCAACAGGACUCUGCGUCUUCACUCUUUCCUAACAACCCUAAACAUAACCCUAACCGCAACAAGAAGCUCAACCCGAGUUAGACCCGAAAAAACACGUACGGUGCCACUUUCUGCCAUCAAAAAGUGCUCUCAGCGGAAGCCUUUGGGUAAACCUGAACUCCCUGGGGGAGCCUUUACGCAACCCCACACUCAACAGGACUCUGCGUCUUCACUCUUUCCAAACAACCCUAAUGGGAACUUAUCUAUCUUAUUCAAGAGAUUGCUCGUAGGGCACCCUAGAGUACCCUGGGAGGCUUCUAGGGGAUCCUAGAGGAAACUGGGAGUCACUGGGAGGUUUCCGGGGGAGCUGGAGGGCACUGGGUGGCCCUGGUAGACCUGCGGAGGAUCUACAGUGCAGGGAAGGACCACAGGAGGCCUCCGGUGUUCUUGAGAGUGUUCUUGAUUUUUUUUUGGCGUGUAAUCUGUUACGCUCCUAGAUUAUUUUUGCCUAUGUAAAGAAAGGUUUGAGCUAAUUCCGGUUGAAACAGUUUCAGUUGCUUGUUUGGUCAUAUCGUCCUGUCAAUAUUCAAAGCUGAAGCAAAAGCACGGGAAUUGUUGCUUCUAGAAACAGCCCAGUUCUCUGUGCUGCGAUUUGUGCACCGUUGAGCUAAGCCAGAUAAAGAAAAACAACACAGCUGCUGCUCACCCUGCUUCAUUUCUCUUUCAUUUAUUUUUUAUUUUUCGCUUUGCCCCUCCUCUUUCCCAGGGUUCUUUUGCAGGGUUCUUUAGGUGGGUCAGAGCGUAUGGGCUGACGCGUUUCCAAGUUAAGAGAGGCAGGCACGUCUUUUUGGGGUAACAACUAGUAGGAUCUUCUAGAGUAAAGCAAUCUAUGUAGUAGCAGGUGCCUUUACUGCACGCGGCUCUUCUUCAGGUGAGUAAUUUUUACAGCAUGCUUGUGGAUAGGAAGGUGAUGUUGUUUUGCGUGUUUGCUCUGUGGUUCUAGGCCCCCUAUGAUUUUUGCAGAAUUACGGGGCUUACUGUGAGUGUGACCGUGUGCCUUCGCCUGUAUGUCAAAUAUUAUCGAAGUUACAACCCUGGUGGUCAAGUGACGGAGCUGGGUUUAGGGAAAUGUGUCAUCCAAGUUCCCUGUGCCAGUGUGUGUCUGAAAACAGCAGCAGUAGGCAGGUAAGGUGUAGCCUUUUUCAGGGUUAGGGACAGUUUCUUAUGUUUUUGGAGCUUUUUCCUGCUGUUUUGCUGGCUGUAGAGUCUUUAGACCUUGUAGCCUUCUAGGUUUGAAGCGCUUGGGAUUCACUUAAUAGGGAAUAUUUAGCAGAGGUUGCUGGCUAACUUGUUUUUGGGAUGUGGUGGGGUAUGCUUCUCUUUUUGGGUUACAUUUUAAUCUCUAGAUGUACUGUUCUUUAAUCUUUUUGGCUUAUAUUUUAAUCUCUAGAUAUAUCAAGCCAUUCUUUGUGAAUCCUCUCGAGAGGAUUCACAAAGAGCUUCAGUAUGCACCGCAAGGGGCUUGACCACGUAGGUGCAGUAUUACCGAGAGACUGAGCAGGGUCACCUUUUCCAUCUGUGAAGGAGAAGCCUGUGAUUACCCGUUGGGGCUGCUGUGCAUUCAUGGCCUGUUGGCAUUUGUGCACCUGAGGGUUUUGGUUUUUUUUCUGGCUCUGGUCUCUGUGCUCGAGCCCUCUGCAAGGAGCUGCACCGUUUGCCUCUGGAUGGCAGCAUUUGACAUCUAAGACGUGUUCUUUACGUUCACGUCUUCGUCACGCAAUGGGAUCAGAUUCGCCUUCCCGUGGCAAGGCGUACAAAAAACCUCCGCUCCGCUGCCACAGGGAUUUUGGUAUAGCCCUACCGCAGCUCACAACAUCCUUGCUCAGCAGGAAUGAUUCCCAACGCUUCCUUCACCGAUACCCCUAGUCCAGUACAUAGACACAACUGGGGCGUCAGCGGAAGGCCCAUGUGGAGCAAGGAGCUCUGGCACGAAUUACGGGACGUUGCUCCGAAAACCUCUCUCUGAUGGGCACGUGGAUGCCCGCCAGCCCCUGAACACUAACAAGGCCGGGUGGAAUAACCACAGCGACUUGCUUGGAUGAUGCCGUCUUAGCUGUGAAGCUUCUGUUUCUUUCCUGGGGCCCCGUGCCUGCCGUUCUCCAGGCUACAGAAGCCUCACCGGAACGAACGUCCUCCGCUCACCUCGCACCGAGCAGCAGCCAACAGCUUCAGCCUCUCUGGUGGCCGGUUGGGUGAAUAUCUCCAUCAGACUCCAGAAGAUUUGUUACGACGGACUAGCUGUCCACCAGGCCCUCGGUUUUCUUAGGUCCCUGGCUAAGCUACGAUUUGUGAGAUGAGAGUUCUGCGCGCCCCCGGUUAUUCAAAUAAAUGACGAUUUAUCCCUCCCA
ensembl:lncRNA